rnacentral:rRNA from 1 species
CCUAGGGGAGGCAGCAGUGGGGAAUCUUCCACAAUGGACGAAAGUCUGAUGGAGCAACGCCGCGUGAGUGAAGAAGGGUUUCGGCUCGUAAAGCUCUGUUGUCGGGGACGAAUGUGCAGUAUUUGAAUAAAGUACUGUAAUGACGGUACCUGACGAGGAAGCCCGGCUAACUACGUGCCAGCAGCCGCGGUAAU